CUUUUGGCCACGGCAACAAUUUCUCUUCUCCUUGGCCCCACCUUCUCUACUGGCAGAGAAGGUUCCUCUCCAGCUCUAGUGUGGGCUUCGCCUCCCAGGCGUCCCUGCUGCUGAGGUGCGCAGAUGCUCCAGGCAAGGUAGCCUCACAGAGGACUGCUCAGAGGUACAAAAGAAUCCCAGCACUUUUUUGCCUUAGAAAGAGCCAGAACAUAUGGUUGGUCCGGAAGCCCGGUAUCUAGGACACUGGAAAGGAGGGAUGGAUACACUCAUCACGGCUUGAAAGACAGACCUUGCAAGGUAAGCUGAACAAAACUGUGCCUAACCAACUUUUUAAAGAUAUAGCUGUUACAUUUAAGUCCCAAAGGA
rnacentral:lncRNA from 1 species